GACGAACGCUGGCGGCGUGCUUAACACAUGCAAGUCGAACGGAAAGGCCCUGCUUUUGUGGGGUGCUCGAGUGGCGAACGGGUGAGUAACACGUGAGUAACCUGCCCUUGACUUUGGGAUAACUUCAGGAAACUGGGGCUAAUACCGGAUAGGAGCUCCUGCUGCAUGGUGGGGGUUGGAAAGUUUGGGCGGUUGGGGAUGGACUCGCGGCUGAUCAGCUUGUUGGUGGGGUAGUGGCUUACCAAGGCUUUGACGGGUAGCCGGCCUGAGAGGGUGACCGGCCACCAUGGGACUGCGAUACGGCCCAGACUCCUACGGGAGGCAGCAGUGGGGAAUAUUGCACAAUGGGAGGAAGCCUGAUGCAGCAACGCCGCGUGCGGGAUGACGGCCUUCGGGUUGUAAACCGCUUUAGCCUGUGACGAAGCGUGAGUGACGGUAAUGGGUAAAGAAGCACCGGCUAACUACGUG
rnacentral:rRNA from 1 species